CAGUAGCCGCGGUAAUACGUAGGUGGCAAGCGUUGUCCGGAAUUAUUGGGCGUAAAGGGCUCGCAGGCGGUUUCUUAAGUCUGAUGUGAAAGCCCCCGGCUCAACCGGGGAGGGUCAUUGGAAACUGGGAAACUUGAGUGCAGAAGAGGAGAGUGGAAUUCCACGUGUAGCGGUGUAAUGCGUAGAGAUGUGGAGGAACACCAGUGGCGAAGGCGACUCUCUGGUCUGUAACUGACGCUGAGGCGCGAAAGCGUGGGGAGCAAACAGGAUUAGAUACCCCCGUAGUCCCUGUCUCUUAUAA
rnacentral:rRNA from 1 species